AACGAACGCUGGCGGCAGGCUUAACACAUGCAAGUCGAGCGCCCCGCAAGGGGAGCGGCAGACGGGUGAGUAACGCGUGGGAAUCUACCGUACCCUACGGAAUAGCUCCGGGAAACUGGAAUUAAUACCGUAUACGCCCUACGGGGGAAAGAUUUAUCGGGGUAUGAUGAGCCCGCGUUGGAUUAGCUAGUUGGUGGGGUAAAGGCCUACCAAGGCGACGAUCCAUAGCUGGUCUGAGAGGAUGAUCAGCCACAUUGGGACUGAGACACGGCCCAAACUCCUACGGGAGGCAGCAGUGGGGAAUAUUGGACAAUGGGCGCAAGCCUGAUCCAGCCAUGCCGCGUGAGUGAUGAAGGUCCUAGGAUUGUAAAGCUCUUUCACCGAUGAAGAUAAUGACGGUAGUCGGAGAAGAAGCCCCGGCUAACUUCGUGCCAGCAGCCGCCGUAA
rnacentral:rRNA from 1 species